UGGCCUGACACGGGGUGUCCCGCCCGGGACUGAGAGCACACCCGUCGAACCUGCUCCAGUUGGCACUGGCGAAGGGAUGUCACGCGAUGGACGC
rnacentral:ncRNA from 2 species